rnacentral:lncRNA from 1 species
UGCAGCUUGAGAUCUAGAUAACAGCUAAAACUGUUUACACAGGUUACCUAAAGGACUCUGGAAAACACUGAAAGUGGAUUUGCAAAUCUCAUCCAAUGUUGGCUGGCACUACACUAUGCCCCAAGCCAAACCAUCCUAAAUCCAUAACUUCUCAAGGAGGACAUUUGCUUCCUCUGUGAUUACCAGAGCCAGGAGAUUCCACCACCAUUUGGAAAAAAAAACCCCGAAAAACAAACAAAAAAAAAACCAAAACAAACUAAAAUACCUUACAUCUUCUUACUAACUCCAGUGAUUAUUCAGAAAGGAGAGUUGUUACCUGCCUACUUUCAGGUGGACGAUUUUUACUUGGAUAUUGCAUCAUCUAGAGUACGAUAUUGCAGAGGCUGAAGCCAGUGGAGGUUGUAUUAUUAACCAAAGGAGCCAGGUCAGAUCCCAGACAUGAAAUCAUGUCACUAGAAUUGUAAUUGCUAAUGCCCUCACUGACUAGAAGGAGCACAGCAGCAAUCGUGUACUUUGAUGAAGUGUUGCAUGAUCUACUUUAUGCCCCUGCCAGCCACAGCAGAAUUAGUAAGAAUGUUACCUGCUGCUAGGUCACAUUAGCAGGCAGGACAGCAAAUGAAACACAUCUCAUCUCCUCCACCUUGUCCUUCCUGAGUCUCUGCUGAAAAUGUCCUGUGCUCAGUGCCAGUUCUUCCUUCUAAGCAUUCAUAGGAGCUGCUGUGGCAGCCCCAGGGAGCCCUGUAGGGUCUUUGCUGGCAAUCUCUAGUCCUCGAACAGUGCCCACUUCAUCUGUAGAUCCCAGUGGGUGAAGCCUAUGGAUCAGCAUGAAUAUUUCUGGUUGCCCAGAGACAGAUCGUUCUCAGCCUCAUGAUGACCACAGGAGUAGGAAACUUUUCUUGGUGACCAUUCCCAUAAUACAGCUCCGAGCUCAGCUGAGUGCUAUAUUCAUCUCCCUGCUGGUGGGUUGGGAGCAGGCUAGCAAGGCAAAUCAAGGGCCCUCAGCUUCCCGGAGAUCCUCAGCAGCACAAAGUGCCAUGAAUACCUGA